UGUCUCGCUGUGCUUCCCGAAUAGUUUGACGAAUCGGGGACGAUGUGAUCGACCGCCACCGCUCACUGUUCCAAGCCAGACCGAGAUUCAGGUCGAGUAGCUAAUUGUCUUUCUAUGAUCAGGAUAAAAUCAACGACUUGGCGUUAAUAGAAAGCUACGGCUACUAGAAAACGGAGUAGUACUACCAAUUAACAGUUCCGUUGGUUAUUAGACUAAUCAAUUAACCUUCUCGAACACAUCCCUUCCGAAGCAAUUAAGCAAUUUGACCGGCAUGCAUAAAACAUGUAAGGUCAGUACGACUAAACAUC
rnacentral:lncRNA from 1 species